UACGGGGGGGGCAAGCGUUGUUCGGAAUUACUGGGCGUAAAGGGCUCGUAGGCGGCCAACUAAGUCGGAUGUGAAAUCCCCAAGCUUAACUUGGGAACUGCAUCCGAUACUGGAUGGCUUGAAUCCGGGAGAGGGAUGCAGAAUUCCAGGUGUAGCGGUGAAAUGCGUAGACAUCUGGAGGAAUACCGGUGGCGAAGGCGGCAUCCUGGACCGGCAUUGACGCUGAGGAGCGAAAGCUAGGGGAGCAAACGGG
rnacentral:rRNA from 1 species